rnacentral:tRNA from 1 species
GUCCAGGGUAGCCUAGUGGUGAUGGCAUCUGCCCGGUAAGCGGAAGGUCGUGGGUUCGAUUCCCAUCCCUUGACA